GACGAACGCUGGCGGCGUGCCUAACACAUGCAAGUCGAACGGAGAUAUGAUUUCGGUUGUAUCUUAGUGGCGAACGGGUGAGUAACGCGUGAACAACCUGACUCUAGAGGGGGAUAACACUCGGAAACGGGUGCUAAUACCGCAUAAGACCACGACCCGGCAUCGGGAUGAGGUCAAAGGAGCAAUCCGCUGAGAGAGGGGUUCGCGUCCCAUUAGAUAGAUGGCGGGGUAACGGCCCACCAUGUCAACGAUGGGCAGCCGAGCUGAGAGGCUGAUCGGCCACACUGGAACUGAGACACGGUCCAGACUCCUACGGGAGGCAGCAGUGGGGAAUAUUGGGCAAUGGGCGCAAGCCUGACCCAGCAACGCCGCGUGAGGGAAGAAGGCUUUCGGGUUGUAAACCUCUGUCCUUGGUGACGAAACAAAUGACGGUAGCCAAGGAGGAAGCCCCGGCUAACUACGUGCCAGCAGCCGCCGCGG
rnacentral:rRNA from 1 species